CCUUUCCUGGUGUGUGCGCCAGCGGAUCUAGUCCCUGAGCCGAUAUUUUUGAAAAAACGGGACGCUAUCGCCUGGCCAGUGUGCAAGCUCAGCCCGACUGAGAAGCCUUAGGUCAGCAUGGUCUCCCACCUUGAACCUGUGGGUUCAAGGGCGAACAUCCGCAGCGGCACACCGGGGCCCUC
rnacentral:other from 1 species